CCAAUAGCGUAUAUUAAAGUUGUUGCAGUUAAAAAGCUCGUAGUUGAAUUUCGGGAUCAGUACGUCGGUCGUGCCUUCGGUAUGUACUGGUGUCACUGAUUCCUCCCUUCUGACGAACCGUCAUGCCAUUCACUUGGUGUGGCGGGAAAUCAGGACUGUUACUUUGAAAAAAUUAGAGUGUUUAAAGCAGGCUCACGCUUGAAUACAUUAGCAUGGAAUAAUGAAAUAGGACGUUGAUCUUAUUUUGUUGGUUUCUAGGAUUGACGUAAUGAUUAAUAGGGAUAGUUGGGGGCAUUAGUAUUCAAUUGUCAGAGGUGAAAUUCUUGGAUUUAUUGAAGACUAACUACUGCGAAAGCAUUUGCCAAGGAUGUUUUCAUUAAUCAAGAACGAAAGUUAGGGGAUCGAAGACGAUCAGAUACCGUCGUAGUCUUAACCAUAAACUAUGCCGACUAGGGAUCGGAUGAUGUUAAUUUUUUAAUGACUCAUUCGGCGCCUUACG
rnacentral:rRNA from 1 species